CAAGUCAGAGCCAUGACCCUGCUUCUUCCUCUUCCAUUUUGCCAGCUCGAUCCAUUGGUUGCAUCCUGUUGCAAGAAAAGUUAUCUUUCCUUGGAUGAUUAAAAAUGCUCAGCCCCAAACCUAUGGAUUGAUGAUCAUUACUGAUGGAAAUGCCUGGAAUAAACUCACACUGGAUUCAUGCGAAACCACCUCCUCAUCCAUAAAACGUGAUAAUGGCUGAAGAUCAAAAGAGC